UCCGGUUUGUCACCGGCGGUCUCCUUAGAGUUCCCACCAUUACGUGCUGGCAACUAAGGACAAGGGUUGCGCUCGUUGCGGGACUUAACCCAACAUCUCACGACACGAGCUGACGACAGCCAUGCAGCACCUGUGUUCUGAUUCCCGAAGGCACUCCCGUAUCUCUACAGGAUUCCAGACAUGUCAAGGCCAGGUAAGGUUCUUCGCGUUGCAUCGAAUUAAACCACAUGCUCCACCGCUUGUGCGGGCCCCCGUCAAUUCAUUUGAGUUUCAGCCUUGCGGCCGUACUCCCCAGGCGGGGUACUUCCUGCGUUAGCUUAGACACCGACCCUUGCGGGCCGACAUCGAGCAUCCAUCGUUUAAGGCGUGGACUAC
rnacentral:misc_RNA from 1 species